ACUGAGGAGUCCAAUAAUAGGACGAAACGGCCGUCU
rnacentral:hammerhead_ribozyme from 1 species